UACGAAGGGGGCUAGCGUUGCUCGGAAUUACUGGGCGUAAAGGGCGCGUAGGCGGAUGUUUAAGUCGGGGGUGAAAGCCCGGGGCUCAACCUCGGAAUUGCCUUCGAUACUGGACAUCUUGAGUACGGGAGAGGUGAGUGGAACUCCGAGUGUAGAGGUGAAAUUCGUAGAUAUUCGGAAGAACACCAGUGGCGAAGGCGACUCACUGGCCCGUUACUGACGCUGAGGCCGCGAAAGCGUGGGGAGCAAACAGG
rnacentral:rRNA from 1 species